AUCCCAUGAUGAGGACACUUACGAAGCAACUCCUUGAAUCACUCCCAGCCUCAUAUAAGGACUCAUUAUCUAAUUGUUGGAAAGUUGUGAUCUCGUUCCUUAACUU
rfam:Gossypium raimondii Chr03_contig_308, whole genome shotgun sequence.